GGCGGAAUGGCCGAGCGGUCUAAGGCGUUGGAUUUAAGACCCAAUAUCGUAAGAUGCGUGGGUUCGAACCCCACUUCCGUCA
rfam:Strongyloides venezuelensis genome assembly, scaffold: SVE_scaffold0000057